GACGAACGCUGGCGGCGUGCUUAACACAUGCAAGUCGAACGGAAAGGCCCUGCUUUUGUGGGGUGCUCGAGUGGCGAACGGGUGAGUAACACGUGAGUAACCUGCCCUUGACUUUGGGAUAACUUCAGGAAACUGGGGCUAAUACCGGAUAGGAGCUCCUGCUGCAUGGUGGUGGUUGGAAAGUUUCGGCGGUUGGGGAUGGACUCGCGGCUUAUCAGCUUGUUGGUGGGGUAGUGGCUUACCAAGGCUUUGACGGGUAGCCGGCCUGAGAGGGUGACCGGGCACAUUGGGACUGAGAUACGGCCCAGACGCCUACGGGAGGCAGCAGUGGGGAAUAUUGCACAAUGGGCGGAAGCCUGAUGCAGCGACGCCGCGUGCGGGAUGACGGCCUUCGGGUUGUAAACCGCUUUCGCCUGUGACGAAGCGUGAGUGACGGUAAUGGGUAAAGAAGCACCGGCUAACUACGUG
rnacentral:rRNA from 1 species